rnacentral:lncRNA from 7 species
GCAUAAUACAGAGAAGUUUGAGGGCUGACGUAUAACAAUACCUCAGACUCAGAUUUAACCCACGGUGGACGGUGGGUUAAUUCAUCGAAACGCGAGGGGCACUUUUAGAAAGUGACUGCGGCGAAGGUGUAUGCGCAAUUUCUAGCCCUCCGAUCAACUACGCACGGUACCGAUUAGAAUCGAUCUCUUCUGAAUCGAUAUCCAACCCUGGGCACUGGAUCAUAAUCCCACGGCCAAGGCUUAACGCCCCCACGCUCUAUCCUUAUACGCCCGAUUAGAAACCGACGGAUAUGAUUUGAUACGACCGAGCGCUAUUUAGGUUACGAUCUGGACCAUCCAUCGCGAAGACAACGGCCGCGAGCACGUCUUCUUCCCCCGACCAAAAAGCACGGCGGCCAGGGAUCCACGGCAGGGCAUCCCGGCGAGGUCACCAACCCGAGGCGCCUGCCCCUAAAUUCAACUCAGCACUCUCGACGCAAGGUAAUAAUGAUCGCCGACCACUGGGAUGAAGGCACUGGCAGUGCUGCACACGAGCACAUCGGACCCGCGGUGAAGCUCCUUCUCCAGCGAGGAAUUUCCCAUCUCAGGUCGCCGAUCACCGCCUGAUGAUGCCAUGCGCACCUUCCCUGCUCACUAGCAAACCCUAUACUUCCACAUCCAGAUCUGUGCCACGGCGUUCUCAUGUUUAGCCAUGGCGGCAGACAUGCCUGAG